GAAGAUGUUUAAGAUUGCCUACAGAGUUGGGCACUUCUGUAAGGUAAUGACAUGAAGACAAAGACAAAACACCCAAAUUGGCGAGUUUAUGCAAAUUCGAGGGCAGCUCCUUCAAAGAUCUACAAUCAUCCAGCUUCAGUAUUUGCAAGUUGUAGAGUGAACAUGUGGAUUCAGGUAGUUUUUUAAUGCCAGUAUGGGAAAGGUCUAAAGAACGAAGAUGUUUAAGAUCGCCUAUAGAGUUGGGCACUUCUGUAAGGUAAUGACAUGAAGACAAAGAUAAAACACCCAAAUUGGUGAGUUCAUGCAAAUUCGAGGGCAGCUCCUUCAAAGAUUCACAACUAUUCAGCUUCAGUAUUUGUAAGUUGUAGAGUGAACAUGUGGAUUCAGGUAGUUUUUUAAUGCCAGUAUGGGAAAGGUCUAACGAACGAAGAUGUUUAAAAUUGCAAACAGAGUCAGGCAGCUCUUCAAUGUCUAAACAGUGAGACAGAGAUAAGACGCGUAAGAACUUUAACUUGGAGAACAAUUCAUGUAUCGACAUCUUGCAAUUCCAAGGCCA
rnacentral:lncRNA from 1 species